AUACGUAGGUGGCAAGCGUUGUCCGGAAUUAUUGGGCGUAAAGCGCGCGCAGGUGGUUCCUUAAGUCUGAUGUGAAAGCCCCCGGCUCAACCGGGAAGGGUCAUUGGAAACUGGGGAACUUGAGUGCAGAAGAGGAUAGUGGAAUUCCAAGUGUAGCGGUGAAAUGCGUAGGGAUUUGGAGGAACACCAGUGGCGAAGGCGAGUGUCUGGUCUGUAACUGACACUGAGGCGCGAAAGCGUGGGGAGCAAACAGGAUUGGAUACCCUGGUUGUCCCCGCCGUAAACGAUGAGUGCUAAGUGUUGGGGGGUUUCCGCCCCUCAGUGCUGCAGCUAACGCAUUAAGCACUCCGCCUGGGGAGUACGGUCGCAAGACUGAAACUCAAAGGAAUUGACGGGG
rnacentral:rRNA from 1 species